GACGAACGCUGGCGGCGUGCCUAAUACAUGCAAGUAGAACGCUGGAGGAGGAGCUUGCUUCUCUGGAUGAGUUGCGAACGGGUGAGUAACGCGUAGGUAACCUGCCUGGUAGCGGGGGAUAACUAUUGGAAACGAUAGCUAAUACCGCAUAAUAUUGACUAUUGCAUGAUAGUCAGUUGAAAGGUGCAACUGCACCACUACCAGAUGGACCUGCGUUGUAUUAGCUAGUUGGUGGGGUAACGGCUCACCAAGGCGACGAUACAUAGCCGACCUGAGAGGGGGAUCGGCCACACUGGGACUGAGACACGGCCCAGACUCCUACGGGAGGCAGCAGUAGGGAAUCUUCGGCAAUAGACGGAAGUCUGACCGAGCAACGCCGCGUGAGUGAAGAAGGUUGUCGGAUCGUAAAGCUCUGUUGUAAGAGAAGAACGAGUGUGAGAGUGGAAAGCUCACACUGUGACGGUAUCUUACCAGAAAGGGACGGCUAACUACGUG
rnacentral:rRNA from 1 species